AGAGUUUGAUCCUGGCUCAGGAUGAACGCUGGCGGUGUGCCUUAAGCAUGCAAGUCGAACGCAGUCUUCGGGGAAAGUGGCAGACGGGUGAGUAACGCGUAGGAAUCUACCCAGUAGUGGGGAAUAGCCCUCCGAAAGGAGGGGUAAUACCGCAUAUAUCUGCAAGAUCAAAGCUUUAUGACGCUAUUGGAGGAGCCUGCGUCUUAUCAGGUAGUUGGUGGGGUAAUAGCCUACCAAGCCUAUGACGGGUAGCCGAUGUGAGAGCAUGAUCGGCCACAAGGUUACUGAGACACGGAGCCUACACCUACGGGUGGCAGCAACUGGGAAUAUUGCGCAAUGGGCGAAAGCCUGACGCAGCGACACCGCGUGGGGGAAGACGCUCUUCGGAGUGUAAACCACUGUGGCAGGGGAUGAAGUUUUGACAGUACCCUGCUAGAAAGCACCUGCUAACUACGUGCCAGAAGCCUCGGUAAUACGUAGGGUGCAAGCGUUAUCCGGAUUUACUGGGCGUAAAGGGUCCGUCGGCGACCUAGAAAGUCUUUUGUUUAAGCCUGUGGCUUAACUGCAGAAAGGCAAAAGAAACUUCUAGGAUUGAGUAUGUUAGGGGAAGCUGGAGUUCUCGGUGGAGGGGUGAAAUCCGUAGAUAUCGAGAGGAACGCCAAUCGCGAAAGCAGACUUCUGGAACAUUACUGACGCUCAGGGACGAAAGCUAGGGUAGCAAAAGGGAUUAGAGACCCCUGUAGUCCUAGCCGUAAACACUCCUUGCUAGAUGCUUGAUCUUUGAUUGAGUGUCGUAAGCUAACGCGUUAAGCAAGGCGCCUGGGGAGUACGACCGCAAGGUUAAAACUCAAAGGAAUUGACGGGGGAGCGCACAACCGGUGGAGCAUGUGGUUUAAUUCGACACAAAGCGAAAAACCUUACCCGGGUUUGACAUAUACCUGCACGGUCUAGGAAACUAGACUUUCUUCGAGAGUGGUAUACAGGUGAUGCAUGGCUGUCGUCAGCUCGUGUCGUGAGACGUCCUCUUAAGUGAGGUAACGAGCGCAACCCUUGUUGCUAGUUAUAAUUGUCUAGCAAGACUGCCUCUGCAUAUUGAGGGAGGAAGGAGAGGAUGAUGUCAAGUCAGCAUGUCCCUUACAUCCGGGGCUACACACAUCCUACAAUGGAGCCGACAACGGGUAGCGACGCUGUAAAGCUGAGCUAAUCCUCUAAACGGCCCCUCAGUUCGGAUUGAGGGCUGCAAUUCGCCCUCAUGAAGCCGGAAUCGGUAGUAAUCGCAAAUCAUCAGGUUGCGGUGAAUACGUUCUCGCCCCUUGUACACACUGCCCGUCAAGCCAGCAAAGUUGGCAGCACCCGAAGCGGGUGACCGUAACUCGCAAGGAGCGGCCCUUCUACGGUGAGGCCAGCGAUGAGGACUAAGUCGUAACAAGGUAGCCGUA
rnacentral:rRNA from 1 species